GGCUCCCUACGGGAGGCAGCAGUGGGGAAUAUUGCACAAUGGGCGAAAGCCUGAUGCAGCAACGCCGCGUGAAGGAAGAAGGGUUUCGGCUCGUAAACUUCUAUCAACAGGGACGAAAGAAAUGACGGUACCUGACUAAGAAGCCCCGGCUAACUACGUGCCAGCAGCCGCGGUAAUACGUAGGGGGCAAGCGUUAUCCGGAUUUACUGGGUGGAAAGGGAGCGGAGACGGCGGUGCAAGCCAGAUGUGAAAGCCCGGGGCUCAACCCC
rnacentral:rRNA from 1 species